AGCGAACGCUGGCGGCAGGCCUAACACAUGCAAGUCGAGCGCCCAGCAAUGGGCGCGGCAGACGGGCGAGUAACGCGUGGGGAUCUGCCCGCUGGUACGGAAUACUUCCGGGAAACUGGGCCCAAUCCCGUCUGUGCCCGCAACGGGAAAGAUCUAGCGCGAUCGGAUGGACCCGCGUCGGAUUAGCUAGUUGGUGUGGUACAGGCGCACCAAGGCGACGAUCCGUAGCUAGUCUGAGAGGAUGAUCAGCCACACUGGGACUGAGACACGGGCCAGACUCGUACGGGUGGCAGCAGUGGGGAAUAUUGGACAAUGUGCGCAAGCCUGAUCCUGCCAUGCCGCGUGAGUGAUGAAGGCCUUAGGGUUGUAAAGCUCGUUCGCCGGUGAAGAUAAGGACGGUAACCGGAGGAGAAGCCCCGGCUAACUUCGUGCCAGCCGCCGCCGUAA
rnacentral:rRNA from 1 species